GAUGAACGCUGGCGGCGUGCCUAAUACAUGCAAGUCGAGCGAACGGACGAGAAGCUUGCUUCUCUGAUGUUAGCGGCGGACGGGUGAGUAACACGUGGAUAACCUACCUAUAAGACUGGGAUAACUUCGGGAAACCGGAGCUAAUACCGGAUAAUAUUUUGAACCGCAUGGUUCAAAAGUGAAAGACGGUCUUGCUGUCACUUAUAGAUGGAUCCGCGCUGCAUUAGCUAGUUGGUAAGGUAACGGCUUACCAAGGCAACGAUGCAUAGCCGACCUGAGAGGGGGAUCGGCCACACUGGAACUGAGACGCGGUCCAGACUCCUAAGGGAGGCAGCAGUAGGGAAUCUUCCGCAAAGGGCGAAAGCCUGACGGAGCAACGCCGCGUGAGUGAUGAAGGUCUUCGGAUCGUAAAACUCUGUUAUUAGGGAAGAACAUAUGUGUAAGUAACUGUGCACAUCUUGACGGUACCUAAUCAGAAAGCCACGGCUAACUACGUG
rnacentral:rRNA from 1 species